rnacentral:rRNA from 1 species
GACGAACGCUGGCGGCGUGCUUAACACAUGCAAGUCGAACGGAAAGGCCCUGCUUUUGUGGGGUGCUCGAGUGGCGAACGGGUGAGUAACACGUGAGUAACCUGCCCUUGACUUUGGGAUAACUUCAGGAAACUGGGGCUAAUACCGGAUAGGAGCUCCUGCUGCAUGGUGGGGUUGGAAAGUUUCGGCGGUUGGGGAUGGACUCGCGGCUUAUCAGCUUGUUGGUGGGGUAGUGGCUUACCAAGGCUUUGACGGGUAGCCGGCCUGAGAGGGUGACCGGCCACAUUGGGACUGAGAUACGGCCCAGACUCCUACGGGAGGCAGCAGUGGGAAUAUUGCACAAUGGGCGGAAGCCUGAUGCAGCAACGCCGCGUGCGGGAUGACGGCCU